AUGUCGGCGAUUGAACCUGGGGCGAGAGCAGAGUGGGUGAGACAAAUAACAGCAGGCAGGAUCUACCUGGACAGGGAGCGGGACAGUAACCAACCGGAAAACAAUGAGCGCGUGACAAAGGACAAAACGGAAGGCUAUAAAAAGACCAAAAGGAAUAGGACACGUCUGGGAAACAGAGAAACGAGUGGGAGGAACGGGUGCACAUCCAACAGUCCCCCUAAAGUGAGCGUCCUGCCGCCGUCCAGUGAAGAGAUUUCCACAAAGCAAGCAGCAACACUUAUGUGUGUGGCCAACAAGGGCUUCCCCUCAGACUGGAGUCUGAACUGGAAGGUGGACGGGAUCAGCAGCAGGUCUCAGUACAGCAGUGUUGCUCUCCUGGAGAAGGACGGUCUGUACAGCUGGAGCAGCAGUCUGACUCUCUCUGAGCAGGAGUGGAGCUCAGUGAUCUCGGUCAGCUGUGAGCUCACACAGAAAGACCAGCGUGAUAAAGUCACUGGAGAAUUGAGGAGAGAUCAGUGUUCACAGUAG